AUACGGAGGGGGCAAGCGUUAUUCGGAAUUAUUGGGCGUAAAGGGCGCGCAGGCGGCCUGGCAAGUCAAAGGUGAAAUCCCUCGGCCCAACCGAGGAACUGCCUUUGAAACUGCCUGGCUUGAGGCCGGGAGAGGGUAGUGGAAUUCCCAGUGUAGCGGUGAAAUGCGUAGAUAUUGGGAGGAACACCAGUGGCGAAGGCGACUACCUGGACCGGUUCUGACGCUGAGGCGCGAAAGCGUGGGGAGCAAACAGGAUUAGAAACCCCAGUAGUCC
rnacentral:rRNA from 1 species